rnacentral:rRNA from 1 species
AUGGGAUUGCCCUAGUAACGGCGAGUGAAGCGGCAAAAGCUCAAUUUGAAAUCCGUCAUUUGAUGGAGUUGUAAUUUGAAGAUAAUUUUUCUGGGAGUGGCCUUGCUCAAGUUCUCUGGAGUGAGACGUCAUGGAGGGUGAGAAUCCCGUGAUGCGAGGGUACCACUACUAUGUAGAGGAUUAUCGAUGAGUCGAGUUUUUUGGGAAUGCAGCUCAAAGUGGGUGGUAAAUUCCCGUCUAAAGCUAAAUAUUGGCGAGAGACCGAUAGCGAACAAGUACUGUGAAGGAAAGAUGAAAAGAACUUUGAAAAGAGAGUGAAAUAGUACGUGAAAUUGUUGAAGUGGAAGGGUUUAAAGUUAGGCAUGGCAGUUUACGUUCCACAAUCCUUUGGGACUGUGUACUCGUUUUCUGUCGGGCUAACCUCAGUUUCGGUGGAUGUGUCAAAAGCUUGGGAAUGUAGCAACUUGUUGUAUUAUAGGCCUUUGCUAAUGCUGUGCCGUAUCCGGGGGGCUGAGGA